AUCAGAGUUGGUUCUGCUCUUCCUCUGUGCAUGACUUUAGGGUUCUACAUGAACAGAUCCGUGACUUUCCACUGACAGCUUCAAUUAAUUAUUUAUAUCCUCAUUGUGUUGACAUGCAAACAUAACUGUUGGUGUGAAUACGAUGCUAAUUACUGAAGUCUCUGGAGAUGUCAGAUGUUCUUCUUGGAGCAGGUGCUCCUUCACCCUCCAUCAUCCUCCCACCCUGCCUCCACUGUUGCCUUUGACAAAGCUAUCACCGGGAGCACAGCCUGAAAUCAGAGUCAGUCAGGUGUUCAUAAGUGCAGCCUUUGGGGAUGCAGCGUGGGUUCGGGGGUAAAGCCCUGCUGUGACGCACCCCCUCUUAAUGCUGACUGUGCGUGCCACUAAUAUCCAAAUGACGGCCGUCCCAUAUGGACAGAGUAAUUGACUCCAUGAUUGAAAAGCAAAGUGUCCACCUUCACUUUCCUCAGAGAUAAAACAUUCAGAGGUUGUUCUGUUAAUCUGGUCACAGACCUCGUGCCUCCCACUGCAGAAGUCCACUGACCCAUCAGCAAUUCUACUGUAAUGUGAAAAUCUCCCCAUCUGCCAUAAUUACCACGUUACAAAGGGAGUUCUCAAAUUACUGCCGGAAUAAUGGCUCUGUGUGGUGAGAGUCGCAGACACUGUCUCCAACCUGUCUGUGUGUCAAUAUGUGUGGCUUCAUUCCUCUGUCUAUGAUGGAAUAUAGGAGCAGAAAAAUCAAAGUUCUAUUCAGGUCAGAGGUCUCAAACUCACAAACAUCCCCACCCUCCAACUUGGCCUGUGAGUAGAUGCAAAUAAUGUUUUAAUUUUUCCAUUGAGGUAAUUUUAAUUUGUUUUAGUUUUGUUGAUUAUUUAAGAAUCAGAAAAACAAGAUUUGCAUUAGCUGUUUGCUCUGUAGAUUCUUGCACUCGUCUUAUCUUGGUUUUCUUUUUUCAUCCUUUACUUCCUGUCAAGUUACUACCUCUGUGAUUACCUUCUCCACCCUAAUUACCUGCACCUGUUUCUCUUUGUCUCUCCACCUGUGUGUGUGUGUGUGUGUAUUUAGCUGUGUUUUCAAUGCAGUGCUUGGUGAUUGUCACAGGUCUUUGCUGUUGUCUCUAGUUUCAAGGUUGUUGACUUCCAUUUCUCCAAUGCCUGUCUGGCGGUGCCACUCUUCUGUGUUGGAUUGUGUGACUCACCUCACUCUUCUCACCUCCUCUUCAUCAUCAAUCUGCAGUCACUCUUUCACGUUCUGCCAUCCAAGGGUCUCUCUGGUGCCCAAUCUCUGUCAACUCUGUGCUGCAUGGCCAUAAAACACGGUGGCUUUACUGGUCUCUGCCACUCAGAGCGAGUGAAAAAAACCCUGUUAAAUAGGGAAGACUGGAGAUGAUGGAAGGUUUACCAGCCAUUUUCACUCUCCUUCAUUUCAUUGGCCAUGGGACUGUGCACAGGCACAGGGGCGCUCCGACCGGACGACAACUGAAUCACUGGGAAUAUUAUUUCUAAUAAAUUCUCAUUUUUCCAUUGUGCUUCUGUAUUGUUUCAUUUGGUGACAUUACAUCUUUUUAUAUUCAGCUUUUACUGCUUUAGUAGCCCCGUAAAUCCAACGCUCCAAAAUGUAUUAAGUGAGGAACACACACUGCACUACAGUACAAGCCUGUGUUUUCUGUAUUUAUGAAUUUUGCCCUGACUUGGACAUUGACAGGACAUUUGCUGACUAUAUGUACACAUGCACAUGUAAAUGGAACAGAGUGUAGAAUUGAACUGUGUGUUGAAUGGCGGCUUUCUGUGAGAAAAAAACCUCUUCUGGUUUAUAUGAAAUACGGGCUCGUUAUGAUGCGCUCUCAAUUUAAAUGAGAGUUUGAUCGUAGACAUUGUAUUUUAGAAAGAAAGGAAGAACAUUAAUGUGACUCAGUCAUCUCACUGGACUGCUGUCC